rnacentral:lncRNA from 1 species
GCUGCUAAUCUUAAUUUAUUUAGGAUUUAGGUCCAAGUCCAACUUGGAUAAUUAAUCCAAUUUAAUUUUAAUAAAAUUAAGUCUAAUUAAAUUUAAAUAUGAUCUAAAGUAAUUAGGGCUCGAAUUCAAUCUCUUAUAAUUUUUUGAAUCAUAGAUUUGAUCAAAUUUAAUCCAAAAUUAAAUCUGCGCCUCAUGUGCAGUGUUAGCUGGACAUAAUCAGUGUUUAAUUUCAUGUGACAUAUAACUUAAUUCUUAAUUAAG